ACUCAGUGAAAUUGAACUCGCUGUGAAGAUGCAGUGUACCCGCGGCAAGACGGAAAGACCCCGUGAACCUUUACUAUAGCUUGACACUGAACAUUGAGCCUUGAUGUGUAGGAUAGGUGGGAGGCUUUGAAGUGUGGACGCCAGUCUGCAUGGAGCCGACCUUGAAAUACCACCCUUUAAUGUUUGAUGUUCUAACGUGGACCCGU
rnacentral:rRNA from 1 species